rnacentral:rRNA from 1 species
GGGUCAGUAGGUUGGUCGUGCCACCGGUACGUACUGGUCUCACUGAUUCCUCCUUCCUGAAGAACCGUAAUGCCAUUAAUUUGGUGUUGCGGGGAAACAGGACUGUUACUUUGAGAAAAUUAGAGUGUUUAAAGCAAGCUAACGCUUGAAUACACUAGCAUGGAAUAAUGAAAUAGGACGAUCGAUCCUAUUUUGUUGGUUUCUAGGAUUGACGUA